GGGGGGCCCUUCGGGAGGCCCUGUCUGAACCCUCUGUCAUUGUCGCACCUCGCGUUUCCUCGGCGGGUACGCCCGCCAACGAGGACCCCAUACCAACCCAUUGCAGUACCUGCAGUACACGUCUCACAAACAAUCAAUCAAAACUUUCAACAACGGAUCUCUUGGUUCUGGCAUCGAUGAAGAACGCAGCGAAAUGCGAUAAGUAGUGUGAAUUGCAGAAUUCAGUGAAUCAUCGAAUCUUUGAACGCACAUUGCGCCCUUUGGUAUUCCUUAGGGCAUGCCUGUUCGAGCGUCAUCUAACCCCUCAAGCACGGCUUGAUGUUGGGCGCCUGUCCCGCCGCUCGCGCGCGGACUCGCCUCGAAGACAUUGGCGGCCUGUGUGUUGGCCACGAGCGCAGCAGACCACGCGGCUCGUGCCCUCCCGCGCAGGCGCUCCAGGAAGCGAACCCCCCAGUUU
rnacentral:rRNA from 1 species